rnacentral:rRNA from 1 species
AUUGAACGCUGGCGGCAGGCCUAACACAUGCAAGUCGAGCGAGCGGCGGACGGGUGAGUGAUGCCUAGGAAUCGGCCUGGUCGUGGGGGAUAACUACUGGAAACGGUAGCUAAAACCACAUACCAUCAGAUGUGCCCAGAUGGGAUUAGCUAGUUGGUGGGGUAACGGCUCACCAAGGCGACGAUCCCUAGCUGGUCUGAGAGGAUGACCAGCCACACUGGAACUGAGACACGGUCCAGACUCCUACGGGAGGCAGCAGUGGGGAAUAUUGCACAAUGGGCGCAAGCCUGAUGCAGCCAUGCCGCGUGUAUGAAGAAGGCCUUCGGGUUGUAAAGUACUUUCAGCGGGGAGGCGUUACCCGCAGAAGAAGCACCGGCUAACUCCGUGCCAGCAGCCGCGGUAAUUC